GACGAACGCUGGCGGCGUGCUUAACACAUGCAAGUCGAACGGAAAGGCCCUGCUUUUGUGGGGUGCUCGAGUGGCGAACGGGUGAGUAACACGUGAGUAACCUGCCCUUGACUUUGGGAUAACUUCAGGAAACUGGGGCUAAUACCGGAUAGGAGCUCCUGCUGCAUGGUGGGGGUUGGAAAGUUUCGGCGGUUGGGGAUGGACUCGCGGCUUAUCAGCUUGUUGGUGGGGUAGUGGCUUACCAAGGCUUUGACAGGUAGCCGGCCUGCGAGGGUGACCGGCCACAUUAGGACGGGGAUGCGGCCCAGACUCCAACGGGAGGCAGCGGUGGGGAAUAUUGCACAAUGGGCGGAAGGCUAAUGCAGCAAAGCCGCGUGCGGGAUGACGGGAUUCGGGUUGUAAACCGCUUUCGCCUGUGACGAAGCGUGAGUGACGGUAAUGGGUAAAGAAGCACCGGCUAACUACGUG
rnacentral:rRNA from 1 species